rnacentral:misc_RNA from 1 species
GAUGAAGAACGCAGCGAAAUGCGAUAAGUAAUGUGAAUUGCAGAAUUCAGUGAAUCAUCGAAUCUUUGAACGCACAUUGCGCCCCUUGGUAUUCCGGGGGGCAUGCCUGUUCGAGCGUCAUUAUCACCCCUCAAGCUCAGCUUGGUGUUGGGGCCUGCUGCACUGGCAGCCCUUAAAAUCAGUGGCGGCGCCAUCUGGCUCUAAGCGUAGUAAUUCUUCUCGCUAUGGAGUCCUGGUGGAUGCUUGCCAUCAACCCCCAAUUUUUCUAUGGUUGACCUCGGAUCAGGUAGGGAUACCCGCUGAACUUAAGCAUAUCAAUAAGCGGAGGA